CAAGGUCCGGUCUACGGGACUG
rnacentral:miRNA from 10 species